CACGCAUGACACACUGCAUAUCAAUAAGCGGAGGAAAAGAAACUAACGAGGAUUCCCUUAGUAACGGCGAGUGAAGCGGGAAGAGCUCAAAUUUGAAAUCUUCAAGGUUCUACCUUGACGAAUUGUAGUUUAUAGAAGUGUUUUUGUUAGUAGAGUGGCAAAAGUUCUUUGGAAUAGGACAUCAUAGAGGGUGAGAAUCCCGUAUUUGGUCAUUCUUUCUAGCUUUGUGAUACACUUUCAACGAGUCGGAUUGUUUGGGAAUGCAGUCCAAAAUGGGUGGUAAAUUUCAUCUAAAGCUAAAUAUUGGCGAGAGACCGAUAGCGAACAAGUACCGUGAGGGAAAGAUGAAAAGAACUUUGAAAAGAGAGUUAAACAGUACGUGAAAUUGUCAAAAGGGAAGCGUUUGACACCAGUGUUGUUUUUCCGAAAAUCAAUUACGAAUGUUUUGUUUUUGAGAAGUUAUGACUUCAUCGGCUUGCUCUCUUCUUUACGAAACUUUCUUAAUGCACUUUUCGGUUAACAAGUCAACAUCAAUUUCUUUUGUUGUAAAAGGGUAUGAGGAAGGUGGCUUUCUUUUCGGAGAAAGUGUUUAUAGCCUUGUACCUCUGCAAUCGGAGAGAUUGAGGUCUGCAGCGUAGAUCCUUCGGGGUUAGAUACAUUUGCGCUAAGUUAUAGCUUUUCAUAGACAACUUGUUGACUAUGUUAAGUCUUGUAGCUUACUCGCUGACGCUAUUUUACCUACGCUUAGGAUGUUGACUGAUAUGUAGUCGUA
rnacentral:rRNA from 1 species